rnacentral:rRNA from 1 species
UACGGGGGGGGCAAGCGUUGUUCGGAAUUACUGGGCGUAAAGGGCUCGUAGGCGGCCAACUAAGUCAGACGUGAAAUCCCUCGGCUUAACCGGGGAACUGCGUCUGAUACUGGAUGGCUUGAGGUUGGGAGAGGGAUGCGGAAUUCCAGGUGUAGCGGUGAAAUGCGUAGAUAUGCGGAGGAACACCGAUGGCGAAGGCAAUCCCCUGGGCCUGUACUGACGCUGAGGAGCGAAAGCGUGGGGAGCGAACAGG